rnacentral:rRNA from 1 species
UACGGAGGGGGCUAGCGUUGUUCGGAAUUACUGGGCGUAAAGCGCACGUAGGCGGCGAUUUAAGUCAGAGGUGAAAGCCCGGGGCUCAACCCCGGAAUAGCCUUUGAGACUGGAUUGCUAGAAUCUUGGAGAGGCGAGUGGAAUUCCGAGUGUAGAGGUGAAAUUCGUAGAUAUUCGGAAGAACACCAGUGGCGAAGGCGGCUGCGCUGGGACGGUACUGACGCGUGAGGC